rnacentral:rRNA from 1 species
GCUUAGUUGCCAUCAUUAAGUUGGGCACUCUAAGUUGACUGCCGGUGACAAACCGGAGGAAGGUGGGGAUGACGUCAAAUCAUCAUGCCCCUUAUGAUUUGGGCUACACACGUGCUACAAUGGACAAUACAAAGGGCAGCGAAACCGCGAGGUCAAGCAAAUCCCAUAAAGUUGUUCUCAGUUCGGAUUGUAGUCUGCAACUCGACUACAUGAAGCUGGAAUCGCUAGUAAUCGUAGAUCAGCAUGCUACGGUGAAUACGUUCCCGGGUCUUGUACACACCGCCCGUCACACCACGAGAGUUUGUAACACCCGAAGCCGGUGGAGUAACCUUUUAGGAGCUAGCCGUCGAAGGUGGGACA